rnacentral:lncRNA from 1 species
AAAAUGCAAGGAAUCCAAAUAUGACCUCCCUUUCUUCCAACUCUCACUCUAUAAUCAGAAAAGUGGAGUUUAACAUUGAGGUAUCAAACCUGAGUUGCUUCGAUUUGACCUCAAAACAACUCAGGAAGAUUGCCUACAUUGGUAGGACGUCAGUCAUCCACAAAUUGAGCCAAGAUCUUAAGAAAUGAGUGAGAAUAAAAGAGAAGAAAAUUGAAGAAAAUCACCUUCGG